UUUUCUCUUACCAGUGUGAGUUCUAAUGUGUCCUUGAAGCAGCCAGGGUCUGGAAAACGCUUUGCCGCAGAUCUUGCAGACACAAGGUGCUGGAAGAAAAAACAAGGAAGGAACAGCGGUGACGUGGAGACUUGCAAGGGGAAAGUGCCUUGUCAGGACCAGCACCUCCUGACCAGGGAGGGGAAAGCCAGGGCCGUGUGUGAGGGAGGCUUCCUGAGCUCAUCUGGACAGAAAGCUGUGCAGAAGCAAGACUCCGCCGUUAGCUGUCUCUUAAGGCAACCGAUGGCAGAAAAAUUCAAGCACAGAGCAAGCCUCAGUGAGCUUUGCCCAUGCCAGGAAUUACGCCUAGAGAGGAGGAUGGAUGGGCUGGCGUCCAUCAGGCUGAGCGGAACAGUACUUUGGAGAGAAGGCAGACUCUCCGUGGUGGCAGCGCGGCCCAGUGCAGCAGGUGUGAACGGAACGCACAGACGAAAUCAGUGAAGCCGACAAAGCCAAACCACACAGUGUGAGUUCUCAGAACACGUAUGCCUUGCAUGUCAAGCAAGUCGAAGACAUCACCGUUCGCGGUGACUCUGCACUCUGCGUCUGCGGCACUUCUCUCCGGGCCCUCCCCUGUGCGGUCUCUGGCGUCUGUCCUUGCUGUCUCUGCUAUUACACCUUCCACCUCUCAGCUCCUGCCAGGAAGUUCGGUCGUUCGGUCGAUACUGAGCGGAGACAUACGGUCCAUCUUUCUAGUUGUCCUUGCUUGUUCUCUUAGCUUUUGACAAGAUUUUUGUUUCGCUUUGUUUUACUUUUUAUUUGGAAUAGAAAUGUUGAAGAUUCCCACUAGCAGUGAGUCAAUGAAUUCAAAGUGAAUUUGCCAAAAAGAAUUAAUCUAGAAAUGGCAGGAAGUGGUAUUCCCCUCACCACCAUUGUUCCUCUCACAAGAACACUUCAGUUUGAAUGUCUUCAGGAUGUGUCACCAGAUGGGCCUACAGUCAAUUCGCGCAGAGGAGCCCUGGACAGGCAGUGUCAGCAGGGUCACUGACCAUUAGGUGACAGAAGACUCAAUCUUUCAUUUGAAAAGGUCAGUGAAAGGUUAUUUACUGUAAAUUCUUUGCUUUAUACACAACUUACGUUUUCGUAAGUUCUAUCAGCCUGAGGAUUAACAAACAAACAAGAUGUUCAAAUAAGAGCUCCUUGAAGAGCAGUUGUGGUCUUUGUCCACCUUGUAGAAAGGCCCUUGGUCCUGCUCCCCCAGGCUGCCCAGCAGCCUGGGUGGGCGGGGAGUCUCGUCACUACCCAUCCUGUUGGCAAUCUUGCCAUUUCCCUCGUCUCUGCCCUGCCCCUGGUCUGCAGUAACCACCUGCUGCUGAACAUGCCAUGCAGGUGUCGAAGCCAUUGCGGGGCAUCUGUGUGCUGCCUGGAGGUGCUGCUGCAGGCCCACUGUGCUUAGGCUGGAGUGUCCAGGCUCCCAGGCUCCAGCCUCAGCAGGGGAGAACCCCUCAGCCCAGCUAGUCCUCUCCUCCUCCACAUGGCCCCAGUUACCAACUGCUCACUUCUACUUUAUCCUAGCCCCUACCUGAGACAUCAGACCUGGAAACAAGGCCACAGGGUUGCUCAAAAGACAGCGUGGGCAACAGACACUGCUCCAUGCACAAUGACCUUUGCCGUCUUCCACUCUGAACAGCUGGGUCCAGAUGUGCACCCUCUGAGUCUUUCCCUUGAAGGCCUCUGGGUCUUUCAUGCAAACAGACAUGAUACGGAGGGUCUCUCUGGUCCUGCAGACAUCUCCUCAUGGUUGAAUGACAGCCUCAAUGCAUGUGACCUAGUUUCUUGAAUUGGACAUCUUGUUGCAUAGAGAUUAAUACCUUAAGACCUAGAGAAAUAAAAUGACUUGUUCAAAAGCCCACAGAGUAGCACCGGGAGAGUAGGUCCUCCCCUCUGUCACACUCAAACCACUGUCACAAAUGCUUCUGUUCCCUUCAGCUCUGCGAUGAACAUAGAUUAAAAGCUACUGCGUUUUCCUCCUUCAUUUGAUCAAUACCCAAAUCUGAAAGGUGGUACUGUCACCCCCGUAGCUAUGUGGGGCUAGUGCAAAGGGGACUGCCUGCCGUUCACCCUGAGCAGGACGGUGUAGGCAUUUUCACAUACAUUACAGAAGGGGGGAUGACUGACAGAGAGAGUGAAAAUGUGCAAAGGGGUGGAGGUGCAGUGACUCAGCUUUAUGUGGGACUAAUUCUUCCAGGUGCAAACAUCCCAGGUCCUUCCUCCCCUCCUUCCCUCCUCCUUCUCCCCCCUCUCGCCCUCUUCCUAUCGUCUAUUGUAUCCACCGUCAUCUUCUCACCCCCCCAUCAGGGAUUUAUUACCUAGCUACUAACCUAUCACCUACUUCUUCCUCUGCCACCUGCCUAUCAAUAACGUAGCCUUAGAAAUACAUGUAUGACACAUGUUUUUAAUAAACACUUAUUG